rnacentral:rRNA from 1 species
AUUGAAUGCUGGCGGCAGGCCUAACACAUGCAAGUCGAGCGAGCGGCGGACGGGUGAGUAAUGUAUGGGGAUCUGCCCGAUAGAGGGGGAUAACUAAUGGACACGGUUGCUAAUUCCGCAUACUUUCGGAUGAACCGAAAUGGGAUUAGCUAGUAGGUGGGGUAAAGCCUCACCUAGGCGACGAUCUCUAGCUGGUCUGAGAGGAUGAUCAGCCACACUGGAACUGAGACACGGCCCAGACUCCUACGGGAGGCAGCAGUGGGGAAUAUUGGACAAUGGGCGAAAGCCUGAUGCAGCCAUGCCGCGUGUAUGAAGAAGGCCUUAGGGUUGUAAAGUACUUUCAGCGGGGAGGCGUUACCCGCAGAAGAAGCACCGGCUAACUCCGUGCCAGCAGCCGCGGUAAUUC